rnacentral:rRNA from 1 species
UACAGAGGUCCCGAGCGUUGUUCGGAUUCACUGGGCGUAAAGGGUGCGUAGGUGGUCGGGUAAGUUUGAUGUGAAAUCUCCGGGCUUAACCCGGAAAAUGCAUUGAAUACUAUUCGGCUGGAGGGUUGGAGGGGGGACUGGAAUUCUCGGUGUAGCAGUGAAAUGCGUAGAGAUCGGGAGGAAGGCCGGUGGCGAAGGCGGCGCUCUGGAACGUUUCUGACGCUGAGGCUCGAAAGCGUGGGGAGCAAACAGG